UCAAAAUGCACCAACUCUAAUAUAUUUUUUUGCUCUCCAUGACUUUCCUUGUGGAAAUUGAUUAUAGUGGUCCUUGGUAACAGCAUAUUCUUCACAAACUAGAGCGGAGUUUGAGGAACUUCUAGGUUAGAGAAUGCCUUCUUAUCUAUACACAUGUAGUUGUUGCAGCCAAUAUCUAAGUACCACAAGUUUUGUUAGAUUUCUUCAUUUACAUAAAACACCAGCGAAACAAGCAUCUUUUUUUGUGCAAAGUUAGUUCUUUCUCCAUUUUACCUAUUCAAAUUAGUUUGACAUUUUGACUGAAUACUAUACCUAUGACAUCUUU
rnacentral:lncRNA from 1 species